CCUACGGCGUGCAGCAGUGGGGGAUAUUGCACAAUGGGGGGAACCCUGAUGCAGCGACGCCGCGUGGGUGACGGAGUAUUUCGGUAUGUAAAGCCCUAUCGGCAGGGAAGAAUUUAGACGGUACCUGACUAAGAAGCCCCGGCUAACUACGUGCCAGCAGCCGCGGUAAUCCGUAGGGGGCAAGCGUUAUCCGUAUUUACUGGGUGUAAAGGGAGCGUAGACGGUGCAGCAAGUCUGAGGUGAAAGGUCGGGGCCCAACCCCGGGACUGCAUUGGAAACUGUUGAAAUGGAGUACAGGAGAGGUAAGCGGAAUUCCUAGUGUAGAGGUGAAAUGCGUAGAUAGUAGGAGGAACACCAGGGGCGAAGGCGGCUUACUGGACUGUAACUGACGUUGAGGCUCGAAAGCGUGCGGAGCAAACAGGAUUAGAUACCCGUGUAGUC
rnacentral:rRNA from 1 species